rnacentral:rRNA from 14 species
AUCUGGUUGAUCCUGCCAGUAGUCAUAUGCUUGUCUAAAAGAUUAAGCCAUGCAAGUGCGAGUGAUUCGGAGCAUCACUCUUUGUAAAAGGAGGGGGAAGGCUCAGGAUGACUGCGAAAGGCUCAUUAAAACAGUUAUGGAUCUGGAUGGUCAGAAGAAAACGGAGAGGAUAAGGGUGUGAAAAUAGAGCUAAAACGAGGGAGGGGGAUCUUGAUUCGUUUAAUAGAUGAAGAAGGGAUUUCUAGAAUUUCAUAGAGAUAUGAGAGGGAGCAUGUGAAUAUUUGACCUAUCAACUGGGGAUGGUAGUAUAGGGGACUACGAUGGUGGUGACGGGUGACGGAGGAUCAGGGUUUGGUACCGGAGAGGGGGCCUGAGAGAUGGCCACCACUUCUAAGGAAGGCAGCAGGCGCGAAAAUUACCCAAUGUUGGAACAGUGAGGUAGUGACAAGGAAUAACUGUCGAGAAGGAUAAUUUCUUUUUCAAUGGUAAUGGAAGGAGGUUAGAGAGGUUCUUGAGUAACGCUCAGAGGGAAAGUCUGGUGCCAGCAG